rnacentral:rRNA from 1 species
AUUGAACGCUGGCGGCAUGCUUUACACAUGCAAGUCGAACGGUAACAGGCCUUCGGGUGCUGACGAGUGGCGAACGGGUGAGUAAUGCAUCGGAACGUGCCCAGAGGUGGGGGAUAACGCAGCGAAAGCUGUGCUAAUACCGCAUGUGAUCUGAGGAUGAAAGCGGGGGACCAGGCAGCAAUGUUUGGCCUCGCGCCUUUGGAGCGGCCGAUGUCAGAUUAGGUAGUUGGUGGGGUAAAGGCCUACCAAGCCGACGAUCUGUAGCUGGUCUGAGAGGACGACCAGCCACACUGGGACUGAGACACGGCCCAGACUCCUACGGGAGGCAGCAGUGGGGAAUUUUGGACAAAGGGCGCAAGCCUGAUCCAGCAAUGCCGCGUGCGGGAAGAAGGCCUUCGGGUUGUAAACCGCCUUUGUACGGAACGAAAAGGCUCUGGCUAAUACCUGGGGCUGAUGACGGUACCGUAAGAAUAAGCACCGGCUAACUACGUG